AUUGAACGCUGGCGGCAGGCUUAACACAUGCAAGUCGAGCGGUAGCACAGGGGAGCUUGCUCCCUGGGUGACGAGCGGCGGACGGGUGAGUAAUGUCUGGGAAACUGCCUGAUGGAGGGGGAUAACUACUGGAAACGGUAGCUAAUACCGCAUAACGUCGCAAGACCAAGGAGGGGGACCUUCGGGCCUCUUGCCAUCAGAUGUGCCCAGAUGGGAUUAGCUAGUAGGUGGGGUAAUGGCUCACCUAGGCGACGAUCCCUAGCUGGUCUGAGAGGAUGACCAGCCACACUGGAACUGAGACACGGUCCAGACUCCUACGGGAGGCAGCAGUGGGGAAUAUUGCACAAUGGGCGCAAGCCUGAUGCAGCCAUGCCGCGUGUGUGAAGAAGGCCUUCGGGUUGUAAAGCACUUUCAGCGAGGAGGAAGGUGGUGAGCUUAAUACGUUCAUCAAUUGACGUUACUCGCAGAAGAAGCACCGGCUAACUCCGUG
rnacentral:rRNA from 1 species